rnacentral:rRNA from 1 species
UACGUAGGGUGCGAGCGUUGUCCGGAAUUAUUGGGCGUAAAGAGCUUGUAGGCGGUUUGUCGCGUCUGCUGUGAAAUCUCUGGGCUCAACCCAGAACGGUCAAGUGAUACUGUCGUGCUAGAGUGCGGAAGGGGCAACUGGAAUUCUUGGUGUAGCGGUGAAAUGCGUAGAUAUCAGGAGGAACACCGGUGGCGAAGGCGGGUCUCUGGGCAGUAACUGACGCUGAGGAGCGAAAGCGUGGGGAGCGAACAGG